rnacentral:rRNA from 1 species
AGCUCAAAUUUAUAAUCUGGCACCUUCGGUGUCCGAGUUGUAAUCUCUAGAAGUGUUUUCCGCGUUGGACCGCACACAAGUCUGUUGGAAUACAGCGGCAUAGUGGUGAAACCCCCGUAUAUGGUGCGGACGCCCAGCGCUUUGUGAUACACUUUCAAUGAGUCGAGUUGUUUGGGAAUGCAGCUCAAAUUGGGUGGUAAAUUCCAUCUAAAGCUAAAUAUUGGCGAGAGACCGAUAGCGAACAAGUACCGUGAGGGAAAGAUGAAAAGCACUUUGGAAAGAGAGUUAACAGUACGUGAAAUUGUUGGAAGGGAAACGCUUGAAGUCAGACUUGCUUGCCGGAGCUUGCUUCGGUUUGCAGGCCAGCAUCAGUUUUCCGGGGUGGAUAAUGACGGUUUGAAGGUAGCAGUCUCGGCUGUGUUAUAGCUUUCCGUUGGAUACGCCCUGGGGGACUGAGGAACGCAGCGUGCUUUUUGCGAAAGACUCGUCUUUUUCACGCUUAGGAUGCUGGUGGAAUGGCUUUAAACGACCCGUCUUGAAACACGGACCAAGGAGUCUAACAUGCUCGCGAGUAUUUGGGUGUCAAACCCGGAUGCGCAAUGAAAGUGAAUGUAGGUGGGAACCGCAAGGUGCACCAUCGACCGAUCUGGAUUUUUUAAGAUGGAUUUGAGUAAGAGCGCGUAUGUUGGGACCCGAAAGAUGGUGAACUAUGCCUGAAUAGGGCGAAGCCAGAGGAAACUCUGGUGGAGGCUCGUAGCGGUUCUGACGUGCAAAUCGAUCGUCAAAUUUGGGUAUAGGGGCGAAAGACUAAUCGAACCAUCUAGUAGCUGGUUGCCUGACCGAAGUC